UGCUUUGAUCAGCAUCUCUGCAGUCUGCUU
rnacentral:piRNA from 1 species